GACGUAGGGCGCGAGCGUUGUCCGGAUUUAUUGGGCGUAAAGAGCUCGUAGGCGGCUUGUCGCGUCGACUGUGAAAAACCCGCGGCUCAACCGCGGGCCUGCAGCCGAUACGGGCAGGCUAGAGUUCGGUAGGGGAGGACUGGAAUUCCUGGUGUAGCGGUGAAAUGCGCAGAUAUCAGGAGGAACACCGAUGGCGAAGGCAGGUCUCUGGGCCGGUACUGACGCUGAGACGCGAAAGCGUGGGGAGCAAACAGG
rnacentral:rRNA from 1 species